GUUCCUUAUGAGGUGCUGACCAAGUGUUGUUACUUUGUAGCCGAUCCAUCAUCCAAAAUGGCUGCCAGCAGGGGACUUAGUUUAACAUAGGACCCUAUGGGAAAUGCAUACAAAUGACUUCUUUUAGAGAACCACUGAAUGGAAUGAAACCAAACAUAGCAUGAAUGUUCCUUAUGAAGUUCUGACCAUGUGUUGUUACUUUGUAGCCGAUCCAUCACCCAAGAUGGCCGCCAGCGGGGG
rnacentral:lncRNA from 1 species